GAAAACGAAAACAGUAAAAUGAGACAAUGCGGAGAGUAAGUGGGUGCUAAGACUGCGAUACGGUCAUCCUAAAGGCCCUCGUCUUUUUUUCUCUUUUUUCUUUCUUUUUUUUUUAAAAUUAAAAUAUAAUAUAUAAUUAAAAACUUAAAUAAACAUC
rnacentral:ribozyme from 14 species